UACGGGGGGGGGAAGCGUUGUUCGGAAUUACUGGGCGUAAAGGGCUCGUAGGCGGCCAACUAAGUCAUACGUGAAAUCCCUCAGCUUAACUGGGGAACUGCGUGUGAUACUGGAUGGCUUGGAUUUGGGAGAGGGAUGCGGAAUUCCAGGUGUAGCGGUGAAAUGCGUAGAUAUCUGGAGGAACACCGGUGGCGAAGGCGGCAUCCUGGACCAUAACUGACACUGAUAAGCGAAAGCCAGGGGAGCAAACGGG
rnacentral:rRNA from 1 species